rnacentral:rRNA from 1 species
AUGAACGCUGGCGGCGUGCCUAACACAUGCAAGUCGAACGGAGAUUACGGACGGAAGUUUUCGGAUGGAAGCCUGUAAUUCUUAGUGGCGGACGGGUGAGUAACGCGUGGGCAACCUGCCCUAUACAGGGGGAUAGCAGCUGGAAACGGCUGGUAAGACCGCAUAAGUCGGUUAAAUCGCAUGAUUUGAUCUGGAAAUGAGCAAUCAGGUAUAGGAUGGGCCCGCGUCCGAUUAGCCAGUUGGCAGGGUAAAAGCCUACCAAAGCGACGAUCGGUAGCCGGACUGAGAGGUCGGACGGCCACAUUGGGACUGAGACACGGCCCAAACUCCUACGGGAGGCAGCAGUGGGGGAUAUUGCACAAUGGAGGAAACUCUGAUGCAGCGACGCCGCGUGAGUGAAGAAGUAUUUCGGUAUGUAAAGCUCUAUCAGCAGGGAAGAUGAUGACGGUACCUGACUAAGAAGCCCCGGCUAACUACGUG